UACGGAGGGUGCUAGCGUUGUUCGGAAUCAUUGGGCGUAAAGGGCGUGUAGGCGGUCCGUUAAGUCAUGUGUGAAAGCCCCCGGCUUAACCGGGGAAUUGCGCAUGAAACUGAUGGACUAGAGUACGGAAGAGGGAGGUGGAAUUCCAGGUGUAGCGGUGAAAUGCGUAGAUAUCUGGAGGAACACCGGUGGCGAAGGCGGCCUCCUGGUCCGAUACUGACGCUGAUACGCGAAAGCGUGGGGAGCAAACAGG
rnacentral:rRNA from 1 species